rnacentral:rRNA from 1 species
UACAGAGGGGGCGAGCGUUGUUCGGAAUUACUGGGCGUAAAGGGCGCGUAGGCGGCCUCUUAAGUCGAACGUGAAAUCCCCGGGCUCAACCCGGGAACUGCGUCCGAUACUGGGGGGCUUGAAUCCGGGAGAGGGAUGUGGAAUUCCAGGUGUAGCGGUGAAAUGCGUAGAUAUCUGGAGGAACACCGGUGGCGAAGGCGGCAUCCUGGACCGGUAUUGACGCUGAGGCGCGAAAGUCAGGGGAGCAAACGGG